rnacentral:rRNA from 1 species
GCUGUGGAUAGGGGUGAAAGGCUAAACAAAUCCGGAAAUAGCUGGUUCUCCCCGAAAACUAUUUAGGUAGUGCGUCGUACGGACACUUGCGGGGGUAGAGCACUGUAAUCGUUGGGGGGUCAUUGCGAUCUACCCCGCGAUAGCAAACUCCGAAUACCGCAAAGUGAUAUACGGCAGACAGACAUCGGGUGCUAACGUCCGGUGUCAAGAGGGAAACAACCCAGACCGCCAGCUAAGGUCCCAAAUGCAUGGCUAAGUGGCAAACGAGGUGGGAAGGCAUAGACAGCUAGGAGGUUGGCUUAGAAGCAGCCAUCCUUUAAAGAAAGCGUAAUAGCUCACUAGUCGAGUCGUCCUGCGCGGAAGAUGUAACGGGGCUCAAGCCAUGAACCGAAGCUGCGGAUGUGUCUUUGACACGUGGUAGGGGAGCGUUCCGUAAGCCUGCGAAGGUGUCUCGUAAGGGAUGCUGGAGGUAUCGGAAGUGCGAAUGCUGACAUGAG